UAUUUUUUUUUUUAAUGGUUUUUGUUGUUUUGUUUUUUGAAGAGUUGUUUGGUUUUUAGUAUUGUAAUUUCUGUUACCUCUUAGUAGAUUUGGAGAUUAUUGAUAAUUACUGUAAAUUCAACCAAGUGAAUUUCUGUUGCUUUUUUUUUCCUCUUGAGGAGUAGAGCAGGAAGGUUAGUCUUAUUUGUUUUUAAGACAUGGAAUCCUGUAGUCAAGCUUGGCCUCAAAUUAACUGUGUGGUGGCAGCUGUCUUUGAACUUGUGAUUUUUUUUUCUGCUUCUCCUGUCUACAUUAAUUUCAAAUGUGGCUUUGGUAGGAGAGUUAUGAUCCCAUUAUGCAUGUUGAUUCUGGAGAGGCAGAUUACAUGGGAGACUCUGGUAAAUAGGUUCCCUAUGCUGCAGAGGUGGUUUUUGUAUUGAGUGGCUUUCCAUGAGUUGUUCAAUGGAAGUGGUUUGUGGCUUAUGUUGUUCCUGUCUUCGAGCUCAGUAUAUACACCUCGAUGUUAAAUAUAAAUCAAAUAUUGGUAGACCAAACUUAAUUGUCUUGCUAUCUUCCAUCUCUUUCAGAAUUAUGUGGAUGUAAGCUGUAAUGUGCGGUCCUAAAGUUCCUUGUGUCUUUCUCUCAAAAUAUUUGUAAUAGGUUUUGUGGUACAAAGCUGGUUGAAUGCAUACAUGGAUGAAUCUGGUGUGGGUUCGUUCGUUCUAAUAUGAAGGAGAAAUGGUACUAAUCUAGCACUCACUCACUCACUUAUAUACAAUGGUAAUCUACAUAUGGCAGAAGCUAUAAAUGAGGGCGUCAGAGAUAUACAAGGUGGCAGACAUUCCUGCUCUCAGGAAACUUACAGAAAUGCAAGUGCAAGGAAGAAGCCAAACCACUAUUCUGUUAAGGAGACUGUGGCUGAACUAGAAAAAAUUUGCUGGCCUCUGAUUGUGCCUACCAUCUUGACAUAUGUUACUAGGACAAUAUUUCUAUCAGUUUGAUGAUUAUUAGUCCGUGUGAUAAUAAGAGGUGCUAUCCAGAAAAAAUAACUUCAUAAUAUUCUAAUAACAAUAGUAAAUAUCAUAUCUAAUACUGAUAAAAAUAAGUGAAAAUAUUGGCAUUGUUAUUUUCAGUAUCUAGCAUUGUAAUAUAAAUGCAUCCCAUGUGCAAAUAGUUGCCACUGGCCUUUACAAUGAUCUAUAGUAAUCUCUUUUGCUAUUAUUUGCAUUCACAUCAUUUAUGUAAGUUACAGGGUUAAUUGAUGUCAGAAUAGGUGCUAUUAUAAGCAAUUUUGAUAUAAUCGAUUGCAUCUUUUACCAUGCCAUGCUGACGCCCAGGUGAUGUCAAUAUAUAUGUGAGGAAACCUAGACAUAAAGUUCUUAUUGGGGGACUUUCAUUACUGCUACAUUAUUUUCAGAUAGUGUCAAAUCCCUUUCACGGUAUCUUCUCCUGAUGAAGAGGAUGGCUUAAAUGCUGUCUCACUCUCAGUGUAUUUAGACUCCAAGUGACUGUUGAUGUUCUGGAUUACAUGUGUAUUCCUGGAACCUGACUCAGAAAGUCCCACCCUCAUGUGUGACUUUUGCUUUGCGUUAUUUUUAUGCUGUUAUAAAGCUGUUUUUGUUUUCCAUGUUAGGUUUAAAAUCAGGAUGUAGAGGUUGAGAAACAAACUUGUACUUUUGGAAAAAACAAAAUAAAGGAGAUGCUAAAAAGAAUAUUAAGGAAAAUGUUUUUAGAUUUGGUUCUUCAUAAGUUUGAGUUGAGUGAUUUAAAUGUAGGCUGUGAUGCAGAGAUUAGAUUCCAAAUUGGUUUGCUGCAGAAGUGAAUAGAAAUGGAAUUUUCCAUGUAAUAUUAAAGCAUUGGAAUUUUCCAUGUAAUAUUAAAGCAUUGUUGUAUACUUUGUUACAGGUACUCAGAAAUGCAGGGAGAUGAUUUUGUUUUUUGACAUACAGAAGUGUUUAAGGAAAUCUUCUAAUCCAUUCUAGGUAUUCUUUAUACUGGGAAUAUUUGGAGGAGUUGUUCUGACCAAAGGAUUCCAGGAGAAGUAGGAUGUUUAGGCUCCUUGAGUGUGUGUGUGUGUGUGUGUGUGUGUGUGUGUGUGUGUGUGUGUGUGGUGUGUAUGUGUGUGUGUAUGUGUGUACUGUUUCAGAAACGCAAAACCAAACAACAACAAAUCAAACAUAAUUCAGACCAAGAGUCUCUGUCAGAGAAUGAGAAUGUUCAGUUGGAACAAAAGGAGUGUGUAUGGGACCAUGUUUCUUGUUCAUAUGGUCAAUUUCAGGCUAACCGUAGGGGGCAGUGAUCUCCAUCCUGUCCUCAUCCCUCACUUGACCCAAAGUCCCCAUAAGUUUCUCUAAAUUGAGGGGAGUAGUGAGAGAUAACCAGCAACUUUCUCUUGGGCCAUGCCAAUUUCAAGGUAUCUUGCAGUGUUGAUUAUUUAGAAUUGAUCUUCCAAUUCCAAGAACGAUGGUUUUAUUGCCACCAAAUUGGUACCUAUGUGAUAUUUUCCUCUUUGUUUGUGUCAUUACUGGAAUAUCUCCUAUGAGUUGCAAACCAAUGAGAUCUCUGUAGAACAAUUGUCCAGCUUCAGUCAGGAGCAGUGUUUAAAAAAUCGAUUGCUUGCCGAUUCUCUUGAAGGGGCAGCCUGUUACAGGGUCUGUAAGCGGACCCCAAAAUGGUUACCGCUUUGACAGGGGAAAUUAGGAGAAAACAUGGAGUUAUAUGUUAGUACUUUAGACUCCACCCUAAAUCCUGGGCCAAAGAUGAUGGGGGAUCUGUCCUCUAGGCCACCUGCUGAGUAUUCACUCACUUUAGAGUUGCUAAAGUCCUACUGACUUAGCCUUACACUUUUUCAUGGAGAUCGGAGCAGUAAUCAUUCACCCAUGAUUGCAGAGAGUCCAUGGUGUCUUUCAUGAAGAUCAACUGACAGACAGUAACAGUGCCUUGUGGGAAGCUCCAUUACUGAGCAAUACCACAGAGGAUAAAGCUAUUUGAGAAAGAACAUAUUCUAUAGCAAUGGUUUGUCAAAGGUGUUGAAGGAUAGAAGGGAAAGAAAGUUUCAGAUUGCCUUUUACAGAAAAGAUAAUGUGCCCAGUCUUCAAGGAUGUUUUGACUCUCUUGAGAAGCCAGUAAGAAAAGCAUCUGAAACCAAUGAAACAUUACCUAGGAAGGAAACAGAGAAAAGCCUGGCACUUAUUUCUUUUAGACUUUGUUCACAUGUUUUUGACUGGUUAUGACUUUAAGAUCCAGGCCUUAGAGCCAACAAUGGUCUAAAAUUGAGAUUACUAACUGAUUUUAACCAACCACACUUCAAUUUCUAGUUAACAAGAAUCUUAUUAGAUAGCGACUUAUAGUACUGUCUUGUUAUAAUUAUGUUUUGACCUUGAUCCAUGCAGUGAAAGAUAUUCUACAUUGACCUUCAAUAAUCCUAAUCAGUACAUAGAUUAAAAAGAAUGUAUAUGUAUUUUAAGUGUGUGAUCACAAAAGUCUUCACCUAUUUAUUUCAUAUGAUACAUUUUGGUUUUUUGUUUGUUUGUUUGUUUUUUGUUGUUUUUUUUAAUUUUACAAAUCAGACUACUACUUUUGAUUUUUUAAAAUUAGGUAUUUAUUUCAUUUACAUUUCCAAUGCUAUCCCAAAAGUCCCCCACAUGCUCCCCCACCCACUCCCCCACCCACCUUGUUUUAUUUUAUCCAUUAUAAUUUACUCCUUUCUAUAUCUUUUAAAAAAAUACUUGUGCCUAUCUCAUUUAUGCUAAUGGAAGAAACGCUUUGCAGUUUGAAAGACAUUGGCUUUGAGUCUAUUACAUAAAAUAUUGUGUAAUGUAUAUGUUGUUAGGAAAAUUGAGCUAUGUGUUUGCAAUGAAUUCAGGGUUGGAGAGAUAGAACCCAUGCCUCAAUUGCCAGAAGAACUAGGAAAGAACAAUUUCUCAUUAAAUGUGUAGCAUGUAUACUUUGUGGGUACUUAUGAAUAGAUUUAACCACCAUAUGGUUGAAAAUAGCUGAGCACAGUCCUUUAGUAAGAAAGUAAGUUCAUCUUUCCAGCCCCCAAUUUUAUGAUUCUUAUUGCACUGGGUAUUGGAUAACGCAGAUAAUCAUUAAUGUUCAAUAUCCUGAGUAUAACAUUAGUCAUUCAUGAUAAUGGGGCAUCUACAUUAAGUCCUACCCAACCUCAUUGUCAAAGUGUAGUAAACAGUUUGGGAUGGGGGCGGGGGGAGAAAGAUUGUACAUAUUGGAGGAGAAGGAGUGCUGUAAUAUAUUGUUCUCUGGUCAUGGUAUGGGUUUUGCCCACAGAAACUCAUAGUAAUGGUGAUGAUGCAUAAGUCAAGCCAAUUAAAAAUUCCUGGAUGGAGAUGAGAGGGUGUAGUGACAAUUUUAGCCUUUUUGUUUCUUUGAAAAACACAGAAAUAUUAUAUGAUUAUGUUUUUGUUUUAGUCCCAGAUGUGCAAUAUGGAGCUGCUUCGACUGACCAGAGUAGCUGACUAUGAUUUACCUCAUGUCCUAACAGUGGGGUGAUUUUGCCAGCAGCAGAUAAUUUUGGUUAUUGUGUGACAUUUGAAAAUCUGGGGAUUAUUCAGAGGAUAUAUAAAUGGUAGGGAGAGAAGGGGGAAGGGUUUGUUGGUUGUUGGUUGGUUGCUGUUGGUCACUAUUUGUUAAGAAAUCAUGUGCAAAGAAGAAACAAGAAAAAGAUACUACAUAUCCUGAUGAUAAAGAUCAAACUUGCCCUAAUCAACUCAACUUACCUUCAAUCAACAGGAAGUAGUUUAAAUAUAACAUUAUCCCUAUUCCUCUCUUAUUAUCUUUUUUGUAUCUUCUAUUUGAGGCUUGAAAGGGUGGGAAAAGGGUAGAGAAAGGUUGAAGAAAAAAAUGAGGUAGCUAAAUUCUGGCUAUAGGAGUGGGUCAUAUGGCCUCAUAAACAUCUAUUUGAGGAGAUAUUGAGAGAUUAAGGCUUCUUGGAAAGGUUGAAUCAUCUUUUGGGGAGGGAUGGACACUGGUAAUUUCCUCAGGCCCCAGCAGAUGACAGGAAAUGCACACAAAAAUGGUCAGCAACUAAUUGGACUCACUAGGUUAAAGAAGUUAAUUUUUAAAAAGUAGGAAAGAUAAAAGUCUGACACAUAAAAUUGAUGUACAUUGUUACACACUUGAUGCAUUACUCUGGGUAGUGCAUGAAAGAUAGAGAGAGGGUAGAAAGAGGAAAGCCAUAGCAGUAAUUGAAGGAAAAAAAGGGAACACUUUUAUCAAUGAAGAUCUAGUCCAUGCCCUACAGAUUCCAUUUACAACCUCAGCUUCAGCCUUCCCUCUCAGAAGGCUUCCUCCUGUGCUAUAUCUGAAUGCACUAUCCCCAGUUGUCAGCUAUGUACAUUUGGUAUGAUACAUUCUUCCUGGAGAGUCCUGUAUUUAUUGGAUACUUUUAUGUCUAAUGAAAAGAACCUGGAUGCUUAGGCUUCCUGGAGUCUUUAUAGCUCGUGGACUUACUUCUGGGCACAAGAAUUUGUGGGUGUCAUUAACACUGGAUUCUCAGAUUUUCUAGAGAAUCAUUUUGAAUUCUAUUUUUAUAUCUACUUGACCCUUCUCAUAUGGAUGAAAACUUCUAGACUGAAGUCAAUAUCUAAAGUUAUGUGAACCCUAAUAUUGUCAAUGGAGUUUAGCAAGUACUUAGAAUGAGGGUAGUCUUAAUAUGAACUGUAAUUCUAUACUGAGCAAUUUUGAAAUCUUAAAUAUACGGCUUAGAUUGUUUGAGCCUCAACUUCUUCAACAAUAUGGGAUCAUCCCAAGGCUAUUAGAGACUGUUACAAAAGGAAUAUAUGGUGACAUAGUGUAAGUACUUGAAAGAUAGUUGCAAAAAACAAAUAGCUAAUGCAGAAAAAUCUGGAGCUUCUGUAACAGGAAUUUUUUAGAGGAAUAGGACUGGCUCACAUGUUCUGUAGUGGAGAUAACUUCUUAAGGUAAACCUUGUACCAUUAUUAGACCCAGAGGACACGUCUACC
rnacentral:lncRNA from 1 species